rnacentral:rRNA from 1 species
UACGAAGGGGGCUAGCGUUGUUCGGAAUUACUGGGCGUAAAGCGCGUGUAGGCGGCCUUGCAAGUCGGGUGUGAAAGCCCUCAGCUCAACUGAGGAAGCGCGCCCGAAACUGCAGAGCUUGAGUACCGGAGAGGAUGGCGGAAUUCCCCAAGUAGAGGUGAAAUUCGUAGAUAUGGGGAGGAACACCGGUGGCGAAGGCGGCCACCUGGGCCGGAACUGACGCUGAGGCGCGAAAGCGUGGGGAGCAAACGGG